rnacentral:lncRNA from 1 species
AAAAAAAAAAAAAAAAAUGUACAAACGAACGUAUGUACAUAUAUAUAUAUAUAUAUAUAUGUAUUAGUAUUUGCGUAUGUAUGUUGACAUUUUUAAUUAUACAUUUGUGUCUUGUUGCAUCCAAAUAAACUUUAAACAUUCGUGAUUAAUAAAAAUAAUUAUAUAUACAUUUACAGGAGUUUAAAAGAACAUAAACCUGUGAUAUAUGUAUAAUUAUAAUGAACGUACGUAUGUAUGUAUAUAUGCGCACAUGUAAUUCUGCUAGUUAUUAAGUAUGAUUAAUAUGUGUAUAUAUAUACUUAUAAUACGUAUACAUUUUUAUUAAUAUGUAUAUGUGAAAAAAAGUGGCGCAUACAUAUAUGCAUAUAUAUAUAUAUAUAUAUAUUUAUAUGAACAUUUUUAAUGCGAACAAAAAUUUGAUAAUCAAAAGGGUUACAACAUUUUAACUAUUUGGACAACACAUGUAUAAACAUAUAUACACAUGUAUACAUACAUGCAUACUUGUCUAUAUGAUCAUGUGCGUUUACAUAUAAAAAUAAAAUCAAAAAAGACAGUUAAAUACAAACCUAACGAAUAUGCACAACUACAACAAAAAUAGUAACUUAGGCGUAGAUGAUACGCAGAAUGUAGAUCCGAAUUUUCAAAUAAAAAAAAACAGAAUUGAUAAUAAUUAUAAUUUUAAAGAUAAUGCUGGUGGCAUGAAAUAUGGGUUUAAUGAUAAUUAUCGAAUGGGUUAUAAUAGAAUAAAAAAUGCGAAUGAAAAAGAUAUGUAUAAUUAUAAAAAUAAAAAUGUACAUACAACAAAUAUAGAACAGGAUACUUCCGGUAGUACCAAUGUAAUGAUGAAAACUAAUAUGUACGAUAAUAGUUACAAUCCUACGAAUAGUAAUAAUAACAAUAAUAAGAGUAAUACGACUGUUAAAAAAAAUAUGUAUUGUGAUAAGUCAAACGUUAGUAAUAGUAACAAUAACAAUAGCAGUAACAAGAAUAAUUAUGUAAGUGAAAAAGGAUACUUAAAGCCUAGAAAUAGCAUUUUAAAUGAACAAUAUAACAACAAAAAUUAUAUUGAUAAGAAAUAUUAUUAUGAUAUAAAUUUAGCAAAGGAUAGAACAAAAUUUCGUAGGUUAAGUAAUUUUAAAAAAGAAAAUAAUUUAAACACAAAUCGUACAUAUAGUGGAAAUAAUAAUGUUAAUAUGAAAAGUAACAUGAACAAUAUUAAUAGUGAAAAUGUGAUAGAAAAUAAUGAUAGUAGUAAUGAUAAGUAUGUGAUGAAUAAACACUUUGCUAAUGAGUAUAAAAACGUACAACAUAACGUAAAGGUUGUGAAUAAUACUGGAACCAACAAUAAUAAAAUAGGAAAUAUUAAUAAUGAACAAUAUGAACAAUAUGAACAAUAUGGGCAAUAUGAACAAUAUGGACAAUAUGGACAAUAUGGACAAUAUGAACACAAAGUGCCCGGUUAUACAAAAGGUGGUGAUACUAAUAUUAAUUAUAAUUAUGCUAAAUUAAACAGACAAAAAAAUCCAUAUGGAGUUGGAAGUGGCGGUUUAAACGUUGAUAUGCUUAGAGAAAGAGAAAAUAAAUUAGAAGAGCAGGUUGAAAAUAGUACAGAGGAAACAACAGUAUUAAAAAAAGAAAAUUCAGUAAUAAAUCAUAAUAGUGGUUAUAUACAAAGAGAAAGUGUAUAUCAUAGAAAUAUAAACGAAUUAAAUAUAAAUAGUGCAACCAACACAAACGAAAUGGUACAAACAAAAGACGUGUUAAAUAAAGAUAAUUACAUAAAAAAUAAAAAAAUAAACCAUAUACAACAAGGAUUAAAUAACAUGAGUAAUGUAUAUAACAGAAACAAAGAUUCGUUAGUACCAAAAAGUAUGGUACAUAUGAAAAAUGUGAAUUAUAAUAUGACAAAAGAGAAUAAUGAAAAUACAGACAUAUUACAAAAGAAUGUACAAAAUAAUAAUAAUGAUAUUAUUGAAGGAAACAAAAACAAUAAUCAUGUGUGUAGUAAAGAUAUGGAAAAUGUAAAUAAUUCUGUGUGGGGUAAUAAAUAUAAUGAGGAGAGUGACACGUUAGAGGAUAUCCGAUACCAUGAUAAAAAUAUCAAUAAUAACAAUUUUAAUAAUAUUUAUAACAUUGGUAAUAAUAAAAAUAUAUCUCCGUUAACAAAUUCUAAUUAUAAUGCAAAAAAUGAUAUAUAUAGUAAUACUAAUAUUACAGGUAAAAUGGAUAUGAAUAUUGGUAUUAAUAACAAAACUAUAAAUACAGAUAUAGCGAAUAAAAAAGAAUACUAUAAUUUUUCUUCAACAACUAUAGACUCUAAUUAUAGUAAUAAAAAUAGUUUUGAACAAAAGAAAAUGUAUAGAGACUCUAAUUUAAUGAAUAUACAUGAAAAUAAUGAACAGCAUAUGGUAGAAGAAGAAGCAAACAAAAAUAAAUUAAAAGGUUGUAAUGAAAACAUACAAGAAGGAACAGGUUACAUGCCAUUACAUAAUAACAUGGAAACUAUAGACAUAAACAAAAAAACUCUUAAUAAUAAUAAUGAUGUGAAUAAUGUAUCUUUAGAAUAUGCCAAAUAUACAGAGUACGAAAAUGAGAAUGUAAAAAAGUUUAAUAACAUGAACAUGAACAAUGACAAUGAUAAUGAAAGUAACAAUAAAGUUGGUUAUGACAAUGUAAUGUUAAAAGGAAAUGCGACUUAUAGCACGAUUGGAAAUGUGACUAAUAACACGAUUGGAAAUGAGACUAAUAGCACGGUUGGUACUGCUGCUACAGCAACGACUGUUACGAACGCUACAACUGCUAUUAGUGGAGGUUUUGAUGUUAUUGAUAAGAGUAGUAUUAUUAAUAAUAAUAAGAUGUUACAUAAAAAUAUAAAAAACACGAACAAAUAUAAUGCGCAGAUAAUGUAUGAAGAAAAUAAAAAAAUGAGAAGGUGUAGAAAUAAAACAGAAAUGAUACAUCUAAAUAGAAAAGUUCCUAAAUAUGAACACAUGAGUGAUGAAGAACGAGGUGAACAUUAUUUUAGUGAUUCUUAUGAUAAUAUAGAUGAUAUUGAUGGUGAUACAUUGCCACCAUAUAAUGAUAAAGUUGAUUAUAAUUAUAUGAGAAGGGGAAGAGAAAAUAGUUAUUAUAACAAUAAUAACAAUAAUCUCAAUAAUAAUAUUAAUAACAAUAAUAAUAUUAAUAAUAUUAAUAAUAUGAAUUAUAAAUAUAAUCAUAAGGAAAGAAAUUUAAAAAGACUGGGGCAUGAUCAUAUUAUGAAUUUUCACCAAAAAGAAAGUUUUCAUAAUUCUAAUUAUCCUUAUGUCAAAAGAAAUUAUACUCAUAAUGUUUAUAGUAAUGUUGAAAAUACCACAGACAAGAUGUAUGGAUAUGAUAAAUACAGAAACGAUAGUCGUAUGAGUGAGUAGUAUUUCAUCAUUAAAAAUUUUUAUAAAUUUGAAUAUAUACAAAU